rnacentral:rRNA from 1 species
GGGUUGUGAGGUUAAGCGACUAAGCGUACACGGUGGAUGCCCUGGCAGUCAGAGGCGAUGAAGGGCGUGCUAAUCUGCGAUAAGCGCCGGUAAGGUGAUAUGAACCGUUAUAACCGGCGAUACCCGAAUGGGGAAACCCAGUGUGACUCGUCACACUAUCAUUAACUGAAUCCAUAGGUUAAUGAGGCGAACCGGGGGAACUGAAACAUCUAAGUACCCCGAGGAAAAGAAAUCAACCGAGAUUCCCCCAGUAGCGGCGAGCGAACGGGGAGGAGCCCAGAGCCUGAAUCAGCAUGUGUGUUAGUGGAAGCGUCUGGAAAGGCGCGCGAUACAGGGUGACAGCCCCGUACACAAAAGCGCAUGUGCUGUGAGCUCGAUGAGUAGGGCGGGACACGUGGUAUCCUGUCUGAAUAUGGGGGGACCAUCCUCCAAGGCUAAAUACUCCUGACUGACCGAUAGUGAACCAGUACCGUGAGGGAAAGGCGAAAAGAACCCCGGCGAGGGGAGUGAAAAAGAACCUGAAACCGUGUACGUACAAGCAGUGGGAGCCCCACCACUAAGCCAGUGGUGAACUCCACAUACGCAUCCUUUGCUGAGGAUACGGUUAACGGAGCGAAAGCGACGUUCAACCUCAAAAGAAGCAGAGGGGGCUUAGUGGUGGGGUGACUGCGUACCUUUUGUAUAAUGGGUCAGCGACUUAUAUUCUGUAGCAAGGUUAACCGCAUAGGGGAGCCGGAGGGAAACCGAGUCUUAAUUGGGCGUUAAGUUGCAGGGUAUAGACCCGAAACCCGGUGAUCUAGCCAUGGGCAGGUUGAAGGUUGGGUAACACUAACUGGAGGACCGAACCGACUAAUGUUGAAAAAUUAGCGGAUGACCUGUGGCUGGGGGUGAAAGGCCAAUCAAACCGGGAGAUAGCUGGUUCUCCCCGAAAGCUAUUUAGGUAGCGCCUCGUGAAUUCAUCUCCGGGGGUAGAGCACUGUUUCGGCUAGGGGGCCAUCCCGGCUUACCAACCCGAUGCAAACUGCGAAUACCGGAGAAUGUUAUCACGGGAGACACACGGCGGGUGCUAACGUCCGUCGUGAAGAGGGAAACAACCCAGACCGCCAGCUAAGGUCCCAAAGUCAUGGUUAAGUGGGAAACGAUGUGGGAAGGCCCAGACAGCCAGGAUGUUGGCUUAGAAGCAGCCAUCAUUUAAAGAAAGCGUAAUAGCUCACUGGUCGAGUCGGCCUGCGCGGAAGAUGUAACGGGGCUAAACCAUGCACCGAAGCUGCGGCAGCGACGCUGAUGCGUUGUUGGGUAGGGGAGCGUUCUGUAAGCCUGCGAAGGUGGCCUGUGAGGGUUGCUGGAGGUAUCAGAAGUGCGAAUGCUGACAUAAGUAACGAUAAAGCGGGUGAAAAGCCCGCUCGCCGGAAGACCAAGGGUUCCUGUCCAACGUUAAUCGGGGCAGGGUGAGUCGACCCCUAAGGCGAGGCCGAAAGGCGUAGUCGAUGGGAAACGGGUUAAUAUUCCCGUACUUGGUGUUACUGCGAAGGGGGGACGGAGAAGGCUAUGUUGGCCGGGCGACGGUUGUCCCGGUUUAAGCGUGUAGGUGUGUGUUCCAGGUAAAUCCGGUUCACUUUAACACUGAGGCGUGACGACGAGGCACUACGGUGCUGAAGCAACAAAUGCCCUGCUUCCAGGAAAAGCCUCUAAGCAUCAGGUAACAUCAAAUCGUACCCCAAACCGACACAGGUGGUCAGGUAGAGAAUACCAAGGCGCUUGAGAGAACUCGGGUGAAGGAACUAGGCAAAAUGGUGCCGUAACUUCGGGAGAAGGCACGCUGACACGUAGGUGAAGUGAUUUACUCAUGGAGCUGAAGUCAGUCGAAGAUACCAGCUGGCUGCAACUGUUUAUUAAAAACACAGCACUGUGCAAACACGAAAGUGGACGUAUACGGUGUGACGCCUGCCCGGUGCCGGAAGGUUAAUUGAUGGGGUCAGCGCAAGCGAAGCUCCUGAUCGAAGCCCCGGUAAACGGCGGCCGUAACUAUAACGGUCCUAAGGUAGCGAAAUUCCUUGUCGGGUAAGUUCCGACCUGCACGAAUGGCGUAAUGAUGGCCAGGCUGUCUCCACCCGAGACUCAGUGAAAUUGAACUCGCUGUGAAGAUGCAGUGUACCCGCGGCAAGACGGAAAGACCCCGUGAACCUUUACUAUAGCUUGACACUGAACAUUGAGCCUUGAUGUGUAGGAUAGGUGGGAGGCUUUGAAGUGUGGACGCCAGUCUGCAUGGAGCCGACCUUGAAAUACCACCCUUUAAUGUUUGAUGUUCUAACGUGGACCCGUAAUCCGGGUUGCGGACAGUGUCUGGUGGGUAGUUUGACUGGGGCGGUCUCCUCCUAAAGAGUAACGGAGGAGCACGAAGGUUGGCUAAUCCUGGUCGGACAUCAGGAGGUUAGUGCAAUGGCAUAAGCCAGCUUGACUGCGAGCGUGACGGCGCGAGCAGGUGCGAAAGCAGGUCAUAGUGAUCCGGUGGUUCUGAAUGGAAGGGCCAUCGCUCAACGGAUAAAAGGUACUCCGGGGAUAACAGGCUGAUACCGCCCAAGAGUUCAUAUCGACGGCGGUGUUUGGCACCUCGAUGUCGGCUCAUCACAUCCUGGGGCUGAAGUAGGUCCCAAGGGUAUGGCUGUUCGCCAUUUAAAGUGGUACGCGAGCUGGGUUUAGAACGUCGUGAGACAGUUCGGUCCCUAUCUGCCGUGGGCGCUGGAGAACUGAGGGGGGCUGCUCCUAGUACGAGAGGACCGGAGUGGACGCAUCACUGGUGUUCGGGUUGUCAUGCCAAUGGCACUGCCCGGUAGCUAAAUGCGGAAGAGAUAAGUGCUGAAAGCAUCUAAGCACGAAACUUGCCCCGAGAUGAGUUCUCCCUGAGACUUAGAGUCUCCUGAAGGAACGUUGAAGACGACGACGUUGAUAGGCCGGGUGUGUAAGCGCAGCGAUGCGUUGAGCUAACCGGUACUAAUGAACCGUGAGGCUUAACCUUACAACGCCGAAG